AACUUUCAACAAUGGAUCACUUGGCUCUCGCAUCGAUGAAGAACGCAGCGAAAUGCGAUACGUAAUGUGAAUUGCAGAAUCAGUGAAUCAUCGAAUCUUUGAACGCACAUUGCGCCUCUUGGUAUUCCGAGAGGCACGCCUGUUCGAGCGCCAUUACACACUCCAAGCAUGGCUUGAUGUUGGACGUCGUCGGAAGACGAGUCUCAAACACAUGGGCGUCUGCCGCCGACCACGAGCGUAGCAAGAAUUUCAUUCGCUUGGCAGGUUCGACGGAUAGGCUGCCUACAUUUUCUCAUUUUCGAAAAUUUGGCCUCGGAUCAGGCGGGGAUACCCGCUGAACUUAAGCAUAUCAAUAAGCGGAGGCU
rnacentral:misc_RNA from 1 species